rnacentral:lncRNA from 1 species
GAAGCAUCUGAUAUCUGCCCUCAGACUAAACUGUAAUUAUGGUCAAGACAGCUUUGAUGGCGAUGUUGCUGCUGACAUCACAAUUGGCGUUAAUAUCGUCUCAACUCAUUGGAGGAUGGUCGGAUUUCUUGUUGGACAGCAAAGGAACUGUACCAGAACCUACGACUAACAGUCCUACUACUGGAGCUCCAGACCUCAAACCACAACCCGUUACAAAGCCGAGUUCAUUCCAUCCAAAUAUGUUUCGUUGGCUGCUGGCAAGACAUCUGGACUAACCUCUCGUCUGUCGUCAGACCAGGGAGCGAGGACAACACAGUUCCUGCUGGCGACAAGGACUACCAACAUGGCGGCAAGGACUACCAACAUGGCGGCAAGGACUACCAACAUGGCGGACAACGUGUGCGGGCGUCAUUUGACGUCUGUCCCGUGGCUUCUACAGAACUGAUUUACGAACGACAGGAAGGUGUUGCUGGUGUGUGUGUGUACAUAGACUGCUAGCAGACAGCAAGUGUGUGCAGUCAAGCGGCACAACAUACAAAAGGUGAUGUUAAGAUGUUGUGAAUCAUGACAGAAGCUCUACUGCUGUCACCUCGUGAAAUCCUGUAUUUACAGUGCUCGUGAUGUGUUUUCUUCGCCUUUAAAUUAUUUUCCUUUGUUUUCAAAUGUUACACCUAACACAUUUCCUCACUUACAUCAUGUAUAUGUUUUGCACAACAUUUAAUAUUGUUAAAUCUUUGUCCCAAAUAAGUCCAUGACAACGGUAUUAUCAACAAUGACAGGCUGCAGAUGACAGGCUUGAAGCAUUCACCUGCUCUUGAUUUAAAUUGAUAAAAAGAAUUUUUCGAGGUAUGCGUGUUACAUUCUUCUAUUUUACUUCUCGGAUAUGUCUGUGAUUUUAUGUGACCAAGUGCUGAUUGAGACACAUACACACAGUUAAGCAUUUGAGGCUAAAUGUCCCUCUUGACUAAUAGCCCCUCACAACUUCUUCUCUAUGAAAGAUUACAGUAAACUAGCUGGUGAUUCAAAGUAAACAAGUUUACCUUAAAUUAUAUAUACUAGCACAUGAUUUAAAGUAAAUAAGAUCAAAAUAAAAAAAUCUUAAGUGUUGUGAGGGUGUGUACUGCUGGGUAUUAAAACUCUGAAAAAUAUAAAGACAAUUUGUAAAUAAAGAAUAUGACCUGGAGAAUGAGAGAAUAAAAAUAAAACGAAGAAAGGGACACAAAAAAAGAAACAGAAUUCAUCAAUGUGCGUCUUAUUUAUUAAUAAAUAGUGCCUUCACUAGAGAACAUUUGUCUUUGUACCAGAGAGAAAUGGGAUGUCUCCCCUCUCUCUCUUUGGCGUGUGCGUGUGUGGGUUGAAAAUACAAUUAUAAUGACAAGCUGAAGACAAGGAACAAUGUAAUGCCAGCGCAAAUUAACAUACGUGGCAAGAGAAAAGAAUGUGUUGAUGCCCCGACACAGAGAUAUAUUUCAUCACAUCAGGGAGGCAUAUAAGAACCGCCUCACACAGACAUUUGAAGACAAAGUCUGUUGGCUCUCUGCCAGCCACCAUACUCCGUGUGCUCACAUAAAAAGCAUCACCAACAUUUGCAAGAGUCAGUGAAAGACAUGGCGUUGAUGUGGCUGUUCAUCUUCGUUGCCUUGGUGACAGGCGUUCUGUCACAAGGUCUGUUCCCAAAUGAUUUCCUGGGGAGCUCAGGGGGACUCAGCAACUUUGGUGCAAGUCCUCCCGUGGCGCCACCUCCACCCCCCACGGACCCGAGUCGCAUGAUGAUGCUGAUGUACACACUUUCGGGAAUGUUCUAAGGCAGCUGACUCUGGGAUUAAGGUCGCUCCAUGUUUCUUAUCGUCUGCUUCACCGACUUUGUCUCCAAGAAAUAUAAGGUCACGCCAAGUGAACUGUCAGGCAGUUGAUAGAAAAUAGCGACAAGCAAAUGUCGGAAUGCUGCUAAGUACGAUAAAUUACUUUCCUUUUUCUUGAUAUGUUUUUAGCAUCAUUUUGCGAUGAUUCAAAAUGUAACAUACCGUUUAUGGGAUCUCUAAUGUCCAUUUUAUUUUGUGCUCUUCAUGGUGCAUGCUGUUGUACUGCUGUCAUUAGACUAAUGCCUCCAAUAAAAAGAUUCUCAAUGCUG